rnacentral:rRNA from 1 species
GGGGGGGGGGGGGGGGGGGGGGGGGGGGGGGGGGGGGGGGGGGGGGGGGGGGGGGGGCGGGGGGGGAGCGGGGGGGGACGGGGGAGGGAGACGGGGGCAACCGGCCCCGGGCGCUGGAAUAGGCGCUGGGGACGGCGUCUAAUACUGGAGACGAGAAGGUGCCGCGUGGGCACGUUCUGGAAGGUUUGGCGGUUGGGGAUGGGCUCGCGGCCUAUCAGCUUGUUGGUGAGGUAAUGGCUCACCAAGGAGACGACGGGUAGCCGGCCUGAGAGGGCGACCGGCCACACUGGGACUGAGACACGGCCCAGACUCCUACGCUAGGCAGCAGUGGGGAAUAUUGCACAAUGGGCGAAAGCCUGAUGCAGCGACGCCGCGUGAGGGAUGACGGCCUUCGGGUUGUAAACCUCUUUCAGCAGUGAAGAAGCGAAAGUGACGGUCCCUGCAGAAGAAGCACCGGCUAACUACCUG